GAGCUGGUGCCGGAAUUGGUCACGGGACGGAUUGCAAAUCCGUUCAUGCGGGUUCGAGUCCCGUCUAGCUCU
rnacentral:tRNA from 1 species